UGUGUUCUUUAUACAUUAUAAAUUCAUCAAAUCUUUUUUGGUAUGUUUCAUGCACAAGCGGAAAAUAUGGCUAAAGUCAGUAACUUUGUUUGUAUUAUGAUCCUCUUUCUUGCACUAUUUUUCAUUACAAUGAACGAUGCCGCAAGGUUUGAAUGUCGUGAGGACUCUCAUUGUGUAACAAGAAUUAAGUGUGUGCUUCCUCGAAAACCGGAAUGUAGGAAUUAUGCAUGUGGUUGUUAUGAUUCAAAUAAAUAUCGUUGAUGAUAAAAUAUUCCAUGUGCAGGAAUUACACAUGUGUUUGUUAUAAUACAAAUAAAUACCGGUGAUGAUAAAAUGUACCAUGACAUGUCAUUUAACUAAUGAUUCGGCAUUCAAUAAUUGAAUUUAUUUUGUAUUUAUUUCCCUUUAA